rnacentral:misc_RNA from 1 species
GAUGAAGAACGUAGCGAAAUGCGAUAAGUAAUGCGAAUUGCAGAAUUUCCGUGAGUCAUCGAAUCUUUGAACGCACAUUGCGCCCCCUGGUAUUCCGGGGGGCAUGCCUGUUCGAGCGUCAUUUCACCACUCAAGCCUCGCUUGGUAUUGGGCAACGCGGUCCGCCGCGUGCCUCAAAUCGUCCGGCUGGGUCUUCUGUCCCCUAAGCGUUGUGGAAACUAUUCGCUAAAGGGUGUUCGGGAGGCUACGCCGUAAAACAACCCCAUUUCUAAGGUUGACCUCGGAUCAGGUAGGGAUACCCGCUGAACUUAAGCAUAUCAAUAGCGGAGGA